rnacentral:hammerhead_ribozyme from 1 species
GCACUGCCGAGGUGUCCCACAAUAGGACGAAACGGUCGUCCAGUGC